UUGAGGAGACUGCAACAGUGACAUCGUCCAGCCCUUUGGUUGCUGGUGUUAACGAAUGCCUUGCACCACAGGCCACCAUAAAGGCUCAUACUGUAAAACUGCAGAAAAGGCAUCUGAUGUCCCAGAAGGGAAACGGAAUGCAGCAGUCCUGUGAAGUACGUGAGACGACAGUGAGACCUGUGAAUGUCCCCCCUGCUGUGUCUGCUGUUCCUGCUGUUCCUGUUGCUACUCCUACUGACCACCUGGACCACAUGAGUCUUGACGGUGUCAAUUCUUUUACUAGGGGGUCUUUUCAUCAGGGUGACCAACGUUUUCAUAGAAAUAUGAAUAAGCAGUGUGUAACGAACAGCGUCGCUGCAAUCAUCACACAUGUUUCAAAGAGUGUCUUGACCUGGAAAACACAGGACAUAGAUGACAUUUUGGUGCGUGGUAAUAAUUUGUACACUUGCAUGGAGCAAAAGCAUAUGAUCAGUGCUUCUCAUAGUAGUGGUUAAAUUUUUGUUCGUGAAUUACCCAAGGUGUUUAUGCAUAACAAUAGAAAGGUCCGUUUAGAGUAUUUAGACCCAUGUAGUGGAGUUAUUGGCUUGGAGAAUUAUGCUCCAGGUGUCCGAGAUAUAGCCAUGCCUUUGGACGAAGCUCUCCAGCGGGCACUGUUGGAGGCAAAUGCAUGUUUGCUGACUAUUAGAAGUAACACCUGUGCUGUGUUUAGGCUGGAGUCAAAAUUUGCUGUGUUCGAUCCGCAUGCAAGAGGAAACGAUGGUGGUUUGGAGCUUCAUGGUACCAGCAUUGUAGCAUGCUAUGACACUUUGUCGAUGGCAUAUGGACAUGUCACUAACCUUGUUCAUUCACUGUAUGGUAACGAUGAUGUGUCUAACAAAACUUUUGAAAUCACUGGCGUUAAAGCUGUUUUAGUUGAUGAGGUCAGUCCAGUUAGUGUCCAGCAUGUAG